CAGGGACAGGUAGAGCAGGAGCUGCCGGGGACGGGUCCGCAGCUCGGGCCAAAGGGCAUGGGUGAAGACCAGGAGGCUGGAGCCCAGGAAGGAGAGGACACAGGAGACCAGCACGAUGACCCGCUCAGAGAAAGCUUACCAUCUAACACAGACAAGACAGCAGCGUAGAGAAGGGGAAAGAAUGAAAAGUACAAUGGUGAGACCAGGAAGAAGUGCUGUGAAGAGAUGUCAACUUUACUAGUGAGCAGAAACACCCUAACCAAGAGUUAUUUCACCUGGAUGACGACGUGCUCAGCGGCAGAGACCCAGUUGCUUUCGACCUGAACAGGGUGCAGCAGAACUAUAUGUAAGGACUGUCGCUCAGAUCAACAUCCAGCGGCUUCUUGUGCCGGGCCACGGUCCAGAAUUCUGUGUCCGAGAUGACUCUGUGGGCGUUAACCAGCAACAAAGGUCCUGUUGUUCCCUUCAUUUACCUCUUAAUGAAAAGCUACAGUAAGUGCCCGAUUAAUUAUAAAUGAGCUGACUCUCCUCCUC